CCCUUAGAUGUUCUGGGCCGCACGCGCGCUACACUGAUGCAUUCAACGAGUUUCUUCCUGGUCCGAGAGGAAUGGGUAACCUUUUGAAAGUGCAUCGUGAUAGGGAUAGACUAUUGCAAUUAUUGGUCUUCAACGAGGAAUUCCUAGUAGACGUAGUUCAUCAGACUGCAUCGAUUACGUCCCUGCCCUUUGUACACACCGCCGUCGCUCCUACCGAUUGAAUGCUCAGGUGAGCCAUUCGGACUUUCAUCAUGCUGGUUUCCAGUUUUGAUGAAGGAAAGUCUUGCGAACCUUAUCAUUUAGAGGAAGGAGAAGUCGUAACA
rnacentral:rRNA from 1 species